AAAAAGCCCGGUACUCGCUGCUCACAAGAAGAAUCCAAAGAGGUGGCUAAAAAAAAGUAAAGUAGAAGAAAUUAAUAAGAGAAAACAACACAUGCUAGAACUCACAGAAUAACGUAGGCCUUCCCGACACCUCUCCACCCGAAAUUGACCUCUCGUGGCCACUCUGCCCUACUGUCUUGCAUAGGAGCAGUUCUGGAGGCCUUCAUUGUUUUAAUUUGUCUUUGCCCUUGAACUGCUUUCUUUACUGUAAAAAAGUGCAAUAUCACACACGGAGUCAAAUAACCCAGAAAGUUACAUAAUAGAAGUUAAGGAGACAUGAAAACUACCAAAACUACACUAGACUACACUUGAAGGAAUAAGGUUGUGAAAAUAGGACAAAUACACAUGGAUAUGAUUUGUAAGAAGAAUACACAGGAAAACAUAGACAUACAUUUUUAAUACACUAGAAUACAUACAAGAACGUAAUAGAUAAAAGGAAGAUACGAGAAACCGGAAAAAAGGUAGCAAUGAGAAUAUUUGAAGCAGGAAAAAAAGGAAGAAUAUAGAGGAAUAGGAGAGAGGACACAAGGAAGAAAGAAGAAUAAACAAGAAUACGAGGAACAGGGAAAAAAGUAAGAAUAGACAAUACGAGAAACAGGAAAAAGUAAGAAUAGACAAUACGAGAAACAGGAAAAGUAAGAAUGGACAAUACGAGAAACAGGGAAAAAAGUAAGAAUAGACAAUACGAGAAACAGGAAAAGUAAGAAUGGGCAAUACGAGAAACAGGAAAAAGUAAGAAUAGACAAUACGAGAAACAGGAAAAGUAAGAAUAGACAAUACGAGAAACAGGAAAAGUAAGAAUAGACAAUACGAGAAACAGGAAAAAAUAAAAAAUAGAGAAAUACGAGAAACAGGAAAUAAAUAAAAACAGAGAAAUACGAGAAACAGGAAAUAAAUAAAAAUAGAGAAAUACGAGAAACAGGAAAUAAAUAAAAAUAGAGAAAUACGAGAAACAGGAAAUAAAUAAAAAUAGAGAAAUACGAGAAACAGGAAAUAAAGUAAAAAUAGAGAAAUACGAGAAACAGGAAGAAACUAAGAGGAGACAAGAACACAAGGAUAGAAAAGGAAGAAAAGAGAAAAAUAUGAUAAACAGGAAGGAGGAGGAAUAGAUAAGAAUACAAUAAACAGGAAAAUAACAGGAAAUGAAACGAAGAAGAUAAGAAAACUCAAAGGUCAAGAACACACACACACACACACACACACACACACACACACACACACACACACACACACACACACA